rnacentral:tRNA from 1 species
GCCACGAUGGCUCAGUUGGUAGAGCAAUUCAUUCGUAAUGAAUAGGUCGUCGGUUCGAGUCCGACUCGUGGCU